CGGACGGGUGAGUAAUGUCUGGGAAACUGCCUGAUGGAGGGGGAUAACUACUGGAAACGGUAGCUAAUACCGCAUAACGUCGCAAGACCAAAGAGGGGGACCUUAGGGCCUCUCGCCAUCGGAUGUGCCCAGAUGGGAUUAGCUUGUUGGUGGGGUAACGGCUCACCAAGGCGACGAUCCCUAGCUGGUCUGAGAGGAUGACCAGCCACACUGGAACUGAGACACGGUCCAG
rnacentral:rRNA from 1 species